rnacentral:rRNA from 1 species
CCUACGGGAGGCAGCAGUGGGGAAUUUUGGACAAUGGGCGCAAGCCUGAUCCAGCAAUGCCGCGUGCAGGAUGAAGGCCUUCGGGUUGUAAACUGCUUUUGUACGGAACGAAAAGGCUCUGGCUAAUACCUGGGGCUGAUGACGGUACCGUAAGAAUAAGCACCGGCUAACUACGUGCCAGCAGCCGCGGUAAUACGUAGGGUGCGAGCGUUAAUCGGAAUUACUGGGCGUAAAGCGUGCGCAGGCGGUUUUGUAAGACAGGUGUAAAAUCCCCGGGCUUAACCUGGGAACGGCAUUUGUGACUGCAGGGCUGGAGUACGGCAGAGGGGGAUGGAAUUCCGCGUGUAGCAGUAAAAUGCGUAGAUAUGCGGAGGAACACCGAUGGCGAAGGCGGUCCCCUGGGCCUGUACUGACGCUGAGGGGCGAAAGCUAGGGAAGCGAACGGGAUUAGAUCCCCCAGUAGU